AGUCGAGCGGGGUUGUUUUUCACACCUAGGGCUUCACCGAAAAGUGGAAACACAGGAACGGUGAAGAAAUAGGUGUGGAAAACAAUCUAGUGGCGGACGGGUGAGUAACACGUGAGCAACCUGCCUUUCAGAGGGGGAUAACGUUUGGAAACGAACGCUAAUACCGCAUAACAUGCAGAAAUGGCAUCAUUUUUGUAUCAAAGGAGUAAUCCGCUGAAAGAUGGGCUCGCGCCCGAUUAGAUAGUUGGUGAGGUAAUGGCCCACCAAGUCUGCGAUCGGUAGCCGGACUGAGAGGUUGAACGGCCACAUUGGGACUGAGACACGGCCCAGACUCCUACGGGAGGCAGCAGUGGGGAAUAUUGCACAAUGGGGGAAACCCUGAUGCAGCGAUGCCGCGUGAGUGAAGACGGUCUUCGGAUUGUAAAGCUCUGUUGACAGGGACGAUAAUGACGGUACCUGUUUAGAAAGCCACGGCUAACUACGUGCCAGCAGCCGCGGUAAUACGUAGGUGGCGAGCGUUGUCCGGAAUUACUGGGUGUAAAGGGAGCGCAGGCGGGGAGCCAAGUUGGAUGUGAAAUACCGCAGCUUAACUGCGGGGCUGCAUCCAAAACUGGUUUUCUUGAGUGAAGUAGAGGUAGGCGGAAUUCCUAGUGUAGCGGUGAAAUGCGUAGAUAUUAGGAGGAACACCAGUGGCGAAGGCG
rnacentral:rRNA from 1 species